CUCCAGGUUUCCAGUUAUACACCCAGACUUGGACACUGAAGAAGGCUGGUCAUGUGCUUCCUACAUACCGAUGUGCCAGAGGGUCCACCUCGUUGGAAAGUUUCCACUUGCACAUGAAUAGAUUCAUCCCAGGAACCCUGGCAAGUGACACCUUUUUCCAGGCAUAUCUGGUUGAUGGUCUAUUCAGGUGGAAUGAGGACAGGACCAUAACAGCAGAGGGGACCGAGGGGCCUCGUUCAUACAGUGGCCUCCUAAAGCAUGCUGCCAACCAGUUGUCAGAGGAGGUGCUUGGGAGAAAACUGGUGGAGUACACGGCCCCACGGAAAUACACUGGAGAGCUUAUAGGUAUAGAAUACCUAUACAACCAAAAUAAUGCAGUGAUGGAGGACUACAAGUUGGCCUUGGUGACACUGGAGACAGAAGACAUCACUGUUGCAGAGGGGGAGUCUUCUUUGGAGCCAUGUGACAUCGAGGAUCCAACUGUCCCAACCCUGGAGACAAUAUGGCCUCCACAACAGCUCACCCCUCCAGCUGCCCCUCCUGCCACUGCUCUGCCAGCUGCCCGUCCAGCC
ensembl:lncRNA